rnacentral:lncRNA from 1 species
AUGAUACAGAGUAUUUGGCAGAUACUCUGGCUAUUAGGCGGAGAAGGCAAUGGCACCCCAUUCCAGUACUCUUGCCUGGAAAAUCCCAUGGACAGGGGAGCCUGGUGGGCUGCCAUCUAUGGGGUCACACAGAGUUGGACACGACUGAAGCGACUUAGCAGCAGCAGCAGCAGCAGCUGGCUAUUAGGUUUCUCCAAUAGCCCAGGCUUGGCUCCCUUCCCAGGAAACACCACUUGGUCCCUUUGCCUGUUGCCAAUGUUCCAGCUGACAGUUACCCCGGCAAGUGCCCUGGCAGAUGAGCCUGUGCAUAUCCAAGUGACGGGCCUGCCCCCACUGCAGAUGGUGACCCUCAUGGCAACCAUGAAGGAUGACAAGGGGAAUCUAUACCGGUCCCGAGCUUUCUACAGGGCUAACGAGGCUGGGGAACUGGACCUGAAGCGAGAUCCUGCCGUGGGGGGCCACUACAUGGGGGUCCAUCCAAUGGGCCUCUUCUGGUCCCUGAAGCCCGAGAGGGCUUUUGACAGGCUAAUUAAGAGGGAUGUGAUGAACACACCCACCUGGAUCACUCUGGAUCUAUAUGACUCAGUUUACAUACACAAGGUAGGCGAGGUUCAGCCCAAGGCCAGCCAGGUGCUGCAGCGCUGGUUCUCCAGCCCCGACCUGCAGCGGGUGCCCAUCCGAGAAGGACGUGUGAGAGGAGCCCUGUUCCUGCCUCCAGGGGAAGGCCCAUUCCCAGGACUCCUUGAUUUGUUUGGGGGCAUCGGGGGUCUAGUUGAACAUCGAGCCAGUCUUUUGGCUGUCCGUGGAUUUGCAGUGCUGGCUUUAGCAUAUUUUGCCUAUGAUGACCUGCCCAAGCAGCUGGAGGAGGUGGACCUGGAAUAUUUUGAGGAAGCUGCCAACUUGCUACUAGCUCAUCCCAAGGUCCUAAAGCCGGGAAUUGGAGUGAUAUCUGUGAGCAAAGGUGCAGAGAUCGGGCUGGCCAUGGCCUGCUACCUCAAGCAGGUGGCAGCCACUGUCUGCAUCAAUGGGACCAAUGCCAUCCAUGAAUUUCCGCUCAGGUACCGGGAUCUGGUCAUAAGCCCCAUCCCUUCGUUUCCAGAGCGCAUGCAGGUCAGCGUCGCGGGUGCUGUGCGCAUCCGCCACUUCAAGGGCGACCCCCGAGAUGAACGGAAUCAACACAGUGUGCUUCCUGUUGAAAAGGCCCGGGGCCCAAUCCUCUUCAUUGUAGGGGAGGCUGACGAAUGCUUCAAUAGCAAAGAAUACGCUGAGCAGGCACUGGACCAGCUGCGGAGGCACGGCAAAAGCAAUGGAAGGAUGCUGGCCUACCCCGGGGCGGGCCACCUGCUAGAGCCGCCCUACGGGCCCCUGUGCUGUAUGUCCUGGAGCCGCGGCCUCUUCCUCCCCAUGCUCUGGGGCGGGGAGCCUGAGGGCCAAGCGGCAGCCCAGGAGCACUCCUGGCAAGAGAUCCUGAAAUUCUUCAGGCAACACCUUGUUCUGAGCAGAAGCACUCUGUGAGGGGGAUGAUGGGGGCGGGCGCGGGGGGCGGAGACCAACAACAGCGGAAAAGAAUCAGGCAGGGCUAUGGGUGAGGGAAGGGGCUCUCCUGACUUCUGUAGAUUCACAGUCAUCUUGAGGCAACUGGAAGGAAAUUGGACAAAAUCAAAGAAUCAGAUGCAUCUGAAAUAUUUCCGAUAAAAUUGUGUGUGCUUUGUAAAUUUUUAUAAAUUGAAUCUUAGCUGAUAUGCACCAGGGUACGUUGCUCCUUCAAAAUUUUGAUGUCCUUGAACAUUGAAUUACCUUUUGUAUCCCGGUUGGGGAGUCCUUGGAUCCGGGUUUGCCAAUCUAGAUGAAUUUCCUGGAACUCUGAAGUCCCUUGUGAAGUCAUUUUCUGUUUAAACUAUUUGGAGUUGAAUUUGACAUUUGAUUUGAAAAGUUCUGAUACCAGCAUCAGGUGUAGGCUUGCUAUGGAUUUCCAGUAGAUACCUUCACUCUUUUUUUUUUUUUUUUUGGACUAGUGAUGUUUCUUUUUCUUCCUAAAAUAUAUUUUGUUAAAAAAUUUUAAACAGGAGUGGGAUUAAAUGCUCAUGUGCUUCUGGAGCAUUUAGUGACUAAAUGAGUUAUAUUUGAAGUGAUUACAGGAGUGCCUGGCACAUAGUGAUUUCAGUAUCAGAGUUAGCUAUUAUCAUUUCCAUAAGGUUUUUCUCCUUCAAUCUGUCAAUGUGGUGAAUUGUAUUCAUUGAUACACUAAUUUUUCUUAUUCAUCUAAUUCUACUAGAUCAGUUUCUCAUCUUGACUAGUUUGGGUUUUAAAAUAAAAAAUUUUUGGAGCUAACCUAGUCA